rnacentral:misc_RNA from 1 species
GGCUCAGUAUUGCGGAUCCUGCGCAUUUCUCUGAGGUAGCGGGCUCUUGCAGCCCGCACGUACGGGCGCUCUGUUGUAGACGGCCGAAUACGGUACGGGGGACCGGCGCGCGGGAGCGGGCCGCGGCGGCUGUGCCGUCGAUGCUCCGCCCUAAUCACGUGAUUGCCUGGAGGUGUGUGUCGGCCGACCCCGGGUCGGCCGGCCGGGAGAAUACAGUUCAUGCCGAGAGACGAGCGUGUGUGGCUCUGGUGGCGGGGAUAACAUUGGCGACGAGGAUGAGAUCCGCAAGAUGCCACUCGGCCGGUUGGAAGUUUUUGAAGCAGCAGAAGACAACUGGGAGGAGUACAUCGAACGGUUGGUCCAAUUUUUUGUUGCAAACGAGAUAGAGGAGGAUGUAAAGAAAAGGGCUAUUUUGUUGAGCAACGUGGGAGCCCGAACCUAUGGCGUCUUGCGUUCACUUUUGUCCCCGGUGAGACCCGAUGAGGUUUCAUAUGACCACAUCGUGAAUGUAUUGAGAGAGCACUUCCAUCCGCGACCGUCGGUCACUGUGGCGCGGUUCAGAUUUUUCUCGUGCUCCCGUAGUAUAAAUGAACCGGUGCAAGACUAUAUAGCCCGACUGAAACAGCUGUCACGGGAUUGUCAGUUUGGCUCGUUUUUGGAAGAAAUGAUUCGUGAUCGGCUAGUGUGCGGAAUCAAUUCGGAUUUGAUUCAGAGCCGUCUGCUGUCGGAGCCUGAAUUAUCGUUACAGAAGGCGACUGAAAUGGCCGUGGCGCUGGAGACAGCCAGCCGGAACCAGCAGGAGCUGGCAGGAGGACCUCGGGUUGGACAGCCACCGACCGAGCCAGCGGUGCAACGCAUCCACACAUCGGAGUCGCGGCCGCCACACGGACGGGGGAGCCGUGAAAACUCAAGUAAGCCCAAGUUUUCUGAUUCUGAGGCUAAUAAGUGCUGGCGCUGCUUGAGUAGCAAACAUUCAGAGUCUGAGUGUUUUUUCAAACGCAAGCGUUGUUUUCGUUGUUCCAAAUAUGGUCAUACAAGUGCCGCUCAUAGAGCAGGAACCGUGAACAGUCUCGGAGAUGUGCCUCACCAAUCUGACGAGGUGACUGUUGAAGAUGGUGAGCCCGGGCCGGAGGACACUGUGGUGGGAGACCUGUUCACCUUCUCAGCUGGACUGAGCAGAGGUCGACCUCCGAUCCUGCUGGACGUGACGCUGAAUGGGAAGCAGGUCCAGAUGGAACUGGACACUGGAGCGUCGGUGUCUGUCUGCUCCUACGGUAGGUUCAAAGAACUCUGGCCGACUGGUGACCGGUUGUUACGGCCCACAGACAUUCUCCUGCGCACUUUUUCUGGAGAAAAGCUGGUGGUAAGAGGUGAGGUGAUACUUGAUGUGGGUUAUCAAGGAUCAACGUACCAACUACCUCUGGUGAUCCUGGAAGGAAGGGGGCCAUUGCUGUUUGGAAGAAAUUGGCUGCAUCAGAUUCGGCUAAAUUGGCAGAGCAUUUGUACGGUGUCCAGUAAAACUGAUGUCGAGGCGGUGGUGGACAAGUUUCCGGAGCUUUUCCAGGACGACUUGGGGUGUGCUCGAGAUGCUGAGGUCAGCAUCCCAGUGGACGAGUCUGCAUCACCGAUCUUCUACAAGCCCAGGACGGUGCCGCUGGCGUACAAGGCUCAGGUGGAUGCUGAGUUGGAGCGGCAGCUGAAGGCUGGACUUCUGGUACCUGUGAAGUGGAACAGCUGGGCGGCUCCCAUCGUGGCAGUGCCGAAGGCUUCAGGUGAGCUCAGAAUCUGUGGUGAUUACAGAUUAACCGUAAACCGGGUUACACCGGUGGAGCAAUAUCCGCUGCCUAAGGCUGAGGAACUGUUCACAAAGUUCCAGGGAGCUACAGUUUUCAGUCAGCUUGACCUUAAAAGUGCGUACAAUCAACUGCCAUUGUGUGCAAAAAGUCGUCAGUACUUGGCAAUAAACACGCACAAGGGGAUACUUGUCCCGACCCGUCUGGGAUAUGGGUACGCGUCAGCCCCCGCAGUGUUCCAGCGGUACAUGGACACCCUGUUGACUGGGAUAGCAGGAGUGGGAGUGUUCCUUGACGAUGUGGUUGUUUCUGGCAAGAACCCACAGGAACACAACGCAGCGCUGGAGGAGGUUCUCCGGCGCCUGUCAGAGGCCAACCUGAGGCUACAGCGACGCAAGUGCCGGUUCGGGAUGAAGUCGGUGAUCUAUUUGGGACAUCACAUCGGGUCAGAAGGGAUAAAGCCAACGGCGGAAAAGAUGCCUGCGAGCUGCCGACGCCUGCUGAGACGGUGCAUCUUAUGGAGUUCGUGGACUCGACUCCAGUGACGGCGAGCUGCAUUCGGACCUUCACCGCCCGGGACCCGGUGCUGAGCGUCGUCCUGCAGUACACCCGAGACGGAUGGCCGACCAGCGGACUCUUGAACCCGGAACUGGUACAGUUUCGACGCAGAGAAGGUGGCGGGCCUGGCGGGCGUCGACCGUUCCACCCGGUGGCUGCGUGGGAGCUGCAUCGGUCGGAGUGGCUCCAAGCUGACGGUGCGACUGACUGACGGCCGGGUGAUACAGCGCCACCUGGACCAGGUGGUCGCCGAUCAGGCCGGCGGGACGCGGCGGGACGGCGGCGCAGACGGGCUGGACGCAGGUGAAGCCGUGACGGUGGACCCCACCGCUGCCGCUGUACCGCUGGUGACACCGUCGGCGGCGUCGGCGGCCCGAGUCGCUGCCGGCGGGGCCGCGCUGGAGGUCGGGCCGACGCCGGCUGGCUCCGGCGCACCGAUGGAUGCUGCGUCUGUGGAGCCUGCUGCUGACCCGGCGACUGACGUGCCUGGGACGACGGGCACCGCAGCUGGGGACGGCGAGGCGCCGGCGGGCGCGGCGGCUGGGGACGACGAUGCUUCGGCACAGUCGCGCUACAACCUACGGCCGCGUAAACCGCCUGUUGUCAAAACGGGAUGUUUUGAUUCGGGUGGGAGGGAUGUUGUAGACGGCCGAAUACGGUACGGGGACCGGCGCGCGGGAGCGGGCCGCGGCGGCUGUGCCGUCGAUGCUCCGCCCUAAUCACGUGAUUGCCUGGAGGUGUGUGUCGGCCGACCCCGGGUCGGGAGAAUACAGUUCAUGCCGAGAGA